CGCUUAUAUAUAAUGUAUGCUAUUCUAUUUAAACUUUUCUAUUUGUUGAUUUUCAAGGUAGCUAAAAAUUAAAUAAAAUGUAGACUUAAAUUUUCUAGCCAUUUUGUAUGAAGAACUUUUCCCCAUUAAUAAAUUCCUAUCAGUUUAUCGUGGGUAUAAUAACUUUACAGGAAAGUGUAUAUUGGUUGCUCAUUUAGGUUGAAAUUCCAGGUUUAAGUAGCAUUUUGAUCUUUUACGAUUUUGUAUGCCCCAUCUACGACAGUAGAGGGGCAUUAUGUUUUCUGGUCUGUUCGUCCGUUCGUCCGUCUGUCCCGUUUCAGGUUAAAGUUUUUGGUCAAGGUAGUUAUUGAAUAAGUUGCAGUCCAAUCAACUUGAAACUUAAUACACAUGUUCCCUAUGAUACGAUCUUUCUAAUCUUAAUGCCAAAUUAGAGUUUUUACCCCGAUUUCACGGUUCAUUGAACAUAGAAAAUUAUAGUGCGAGUGGGGAAUCCGUGUAAUUUGAACACCUUCUUGUUUACAUUGAAAACAUUUUUAAGAGCUUUUUUUUUUCAUUUACCUUUUUAUCUUACAAUUUUUUUCAAAUACAGUCUUGUUUAUUUCCCUCUUUUCACAUGUUUCAUUUUAAUUUUGUAUAACUUUUAAAAACCCACUUGAUUUUCAAUGAUUUAAUAAAGCAAUC
rnacentral:lncRNA from 1 species